GUACGUACGAGUUAGAGUUCGAUCGUGCUAGAACGAACGCUGGCGGCACGCUUAACACAUGCAAGUCGGACGGAGUGUAAGGGCUUGCUCUGCACUUAGUGGCGGACGGGUGAGUAACACGUGGGAACAUGUCCUGUAGUGGUGGAUAGCUCCGGGAAACUGGAGGUAAUACAGCAUAAGCUCGAGAGAGGAAAGAGAGAUUGCUAUAGGGGGUGGCCCGCGGCUGAUUAGGGUAGUUGGUGGGGUAAAAGGCCUACCAAGCCGAGGAUCAGUAGCUGGUCUGAGAGGAUGGACAGCCACACUGAAACUGAGACACGGUUCAGACUCCUACGGGAGGCAGCAGUGGGGAAUAUUGGACAAUGGGGGCAACCCUGAUCCAGCCGAUGCCGCGUGAGUGAAGAAGGUCUUAGGAUUGUAAAGCUCUUUUGACAGGGAAGAUGAUGACGGUACCUGUAGAAUAAGCACCGGCUAACUCUGUGCCAGCCGCCGC
rnacentral:rRNA from 1 species